ensembl:lncRNA
AAAAGGCUUUAACAAAUGCUGUUUUAUUUUAAUGGAUAAGGAUUUCAUAAUUCAGGAUCAGGGAGAUUAGGAGAGAAAGAAGCAGCAAUAACUGCUAGAUUUGAUUAAGACUUUUUGAAUCUUCAUCAAACAGAGAAGUAUUGCAAUGGAGACCACUAUUUGCUAAAGAGCUCUGUAAACAUUACCUUGUAUGGAAGAAGGCUUUCCUUGGCUCUUCCACAGUAAAGCCAUCUCCCUUUGGUUCUCAGUUCCUCUGAAGAAACUGUUUCUGUGACAAUUUCUUUGAAAAGACAUCCUUAGAGCAAUUAAGAUAUUAUCAUGAUUCUCUUUUCAUAAAUUUAAAUCUCUGAGUACAGGUGGCUAUGAAAAUCAUCUUCAUGUAGAGCCCUGGAAGAUGAUCUGCUUUGACACAUUCUUCUGAAGUCAAGACCAUUCAACCUUAGCUCACCAUCUCCCCAUUUCUCUAUAUCCUAUUAGCCAGAAAAAGUGCAGACUAUUACAGGGGCCAAAUGUCUCUUUUCAGAGCAGGCACCAACUAAUUCUAUCCUUUGAGUUCAAGAUCCUGAAAUACACUGCCAAGAAGAUUGUCUCAGUAAUCUACAUUUGAAAGGGAAGAUUGAGUUGGAACUCUCUUUAUAAUCUCUAGUGAUCACAAGAGAUAUAAUUUGCCCUUACCUUAUUUGUAGUACUUCUGGGUCCACAUAGAACAUCAGUUAGCAAGCUCCCUUCAAAUUCCAAUUGGCAUACAAGUGAGAAAAGAGUAUUUUUCCUGAAGAGGCUGUGGGGAGAUCACGGUCACAAAACUAUCGUUGUGAUCCGAAGUCUGCCUUUCUGUCUUGUCACGAUUUCCUAUGCAGACAGGUAUCCUAUUGGCAUGAAUUUCAUUGCCAAUUACACUUUAAGAGUGGGCAUGGCUUGAACAUGUAGCCAGUUCCACCUGUCUCUAAACCCUCAUAACCUUCAUUGCUUUCAAUAUUUCGCUCAACUACCCAGUGACUUCAUGAGUUACCCACGCACUGGACCCGACUAACAGAGGUGUGGGAACAGUAUCGAGUUAAGUAGCACUGUCAUUGUAGUACACAAUGCUCAUUGCUACUGGCAAAUACCUAUUUGCUGACUCAGGGUUGGAUUGCUCUGAGCAGGACUAGGCAGUUCUACUGCUUUCUGUUUGUUUCCUCUUUAGAAACUAUCCUCUUCUAACUAACCAUUUAGCAAAACUAGAUUUUUUAAAAAUAUUCAUUCCUUAAAAAUAUAGCUUCUUUAAGCAUAGAGAAUUACUGCAUAUUUUAACCUUUUUUAAAAACAAGCACUUGCAGAACAAAAAAUUGGAAUUCCUCCAAUAAUUAAAAUGAACAUUACUAUAUAUGCUGUCGGUUUUGCUCUUAAAUUUUCUGAUAGCAAAACAAAUAGUUACAUUUCUUUUACUUCUUAAAAGAAAAAGAUAAUAGGAGAAAUGCUUUGUAAACAUCCUUAGGAAAAGGGAAACUUUUACUCUUUACGGAGUAUUAGAUUAGCUGGCACUCAAUGUUGUUUUAAUUGAUGGUGGUAUUUUUAAAAAGUUGAUUGACUACAUUUUUCUAUACAGGCAUAUGCAUAAAUGAAAUUAGGUAUGGAAAUAAUAAGCAUUUAACAACAUGCCAAAAUUUUAAGUGUAACAUGAUCAGAACAAAGUCUAGAAAAUAUGGGUCUCAAUAUGUAUAAAUGGUAUGUCUUUGACAUACAGUUUCUACCCGUUUUAUCAACUUACUCUGGAAGUGGUGGGAUAUUAAUUUUCUUGGGCCUCUCAGUGCCUCAGUGACAUUUAAAUCAAGCAAACUGUUUUUUUGGGGAUUGAUUUAUUUUCAAAUAUCAAAGUUUGCUCCAAUAUCCUACCCAAAGCAGGAAUUUCUAUAUAACAUUGCUUUUUCUUCAACUUGCCCACCAUCUAGCAUAAAAUGAUGUGUAGUGAUAUCCAAUAAAUUUUUGCUAAGUAAAUGUUUAGCUGUACAUUUUAACUGUGAUGUGAACAUUGUAAAUGAUAUAAAGCAAGUAACCUGCAAACUCUUGCAGACUUUCUUUCUAAACAGACUUCAUACAGGUUUGCACAUAAAUGUGAGUGGUGAUCAUUUGCUAAAUAAAUUGAAAUUAAAGAACUUUGAAGAGAAUACAUUAAGUCUAAG